GAUGAACGCUGGCGGCGUGCCUAAUACAUGCAAGUCGAGCGAACAGACGAGGAGCUUGCUCCUCUGACGUUAGCGGCGGACGGGUGAGUAACACGUGGAUAACCUACCUAUAAGACUGGGAUAACUUCGGGAAACCGGAGCUAAUACCGGAUAAUAUAUUGAACCGCAUGGUUCAAUAGUGAAAGACGGUUUUGCUGUCACUUAUAGAUGGAUCCGCGCCGCAUUAGCUAGUUGGUAAGGUAACGGCUUACCAAGGCAACGAUGCGUAGCCGACCUGAGAGGGUGAGCGCCCACACGGGAACUGAGACAGGGCCAAGACUCCGACGGGAGGCAGCAGUGGGGAUUCUUCCGCAAGGGGCGAAAGCCGGACGGAGAAACCCCGCGGGAGGGAGAAAGGUUUGCGGAUCGAAAAACUUUUUUAUUGGGAAAAAAAAAAUGUGAAAGAAAUUAUGCCCGUUUGGACGGUCCCUAAUAAAAAACCCACGGCAAACUACGUG
rnacentral:rRNA from 1 species